GAUGAACGCUGGCGGCGUGCCUAAUACAUGCAAGUCGAGCGAACAGAUGAGGAGCUUGCUCCUCUGACGUUAGCGGCGGACGGGUGAGUAACACGUGGAUAACCUACCUAUAAGACUGGGAUAACUUCGGGAAACCGGAGCUAAUACCGGAUAAUAUAUUGAACCGCAUGGUUCAAUAGUGAAAGACGGUUUUGCUGUCCCUUAUAGUUGGAUCCGCGCCGCAUUAGCUAGUUGGUAAGGUAACGGCUUACCAAGGCGACGAUGCGUAGCCGACCUGAGAGGGUGAUCGGCCACACUGGAACUGAGACACGGUCCAGACUCCUACGGGAGGCAGCAGUAGGGAAUCUUCCGCAAUGGGCGAAAGCCUGACGGAGCAACGCCGCGUGAGUGAUGAAGGUCUUCGGAUCGUAAAACUCUGUUAUUAGGGAAGAACAAAUGUGUAAGUAACUAUGCACGUCUUGACGGUACCUAAUCAGAAAGCCACGGCUAACUACGUG
rnacentral:rRNA from 1 species